UCUUGAAGAACGCGCCAGCACUUUCGAUUUCUGCGAAGAAUUCUGAGCUGAAAAGUCCUGUUAAAAUGGCCAGCCAUUCUCUUCCCUUAAUUCCUUGGCAUUGUUUUAAAGCUAAAAGUUAACAGAUUGAUCACGCUCUCUUGCGAUAACACGUUAUUCGGUGGUUUCUGUGAAAUCAACAGCAUUUUGGGAAAGUCUACAGAAGCGUCCACAUGAGAGAUGAAUAGACGCCAGCCGGACGCGUCUAGCCAGGAAAGCACGAUGGGUUGACGCCGGCACCACGCGGUGAACAUCGCAGAUGGCGUCGAGAGGUUAGCAGAGUUUGACCGUCUCGAGGGGAUUGAUUGGUAGCCCCGCCGUAGAAUUUGGUUACUCAGAAUGGAUAACGAUCGGAAUCAUCCCUACGAAAUGUGUUAUUUCUCAAACAAUAUGAUAUCGAAAGUAAAGGAUGCCCAUAGCCCAGAGCGAUAAAAGAAUUGUUCGCUGAACUCACCAGCCAGUGUGUCUGACUAUGGCAUUAUGGGCAGCGAAUGAGCUCUGAUUUUACACCGUGGUCAGCUGUACGCCUCCGAUAGCAAGAGCUGCCAAAGGAAUCACGUAUGAAUGAGAGUAGUAAUAUGGAACCAUGUUCCAUUCUGAUUUAUUGCUUCCCGCAAAAAUAAAGGAGAAAUGGAAAAUAGAUCAAAUACAUUCGUUCGUUUUUAUCACGCAAAUCAAAUGGAA